rnacentral:rRNA from 1 species
GAUCAUGGCUCAGGAUGAACGCUAGCUACAGGCUUAACACAUGCAAGUCGAGGGGCAGCACGUAUCUGGCUUGCCAGAUAUGAUGGCGACCGGCGCACGGGUGAGUAACGCGUAUCCGACCUGCCGCACACUCCGGGAUAGCCUUGCGAAAGCAAGUUUAAUACCGGAUGCCGUAAUGGCGCCGCAUGGUGUUUUUACGAAAGGGAUUUACCGGUGUGCGAUGGGGAUGCGU